rnacentral:rRNA from 1 species
GUCUACAGCAAUACCACGCUGAACGCACCCAAUCUCGUCUGAUCUUGGAAGCUAAGGUGGGUCAGGUCUGGUUAGUACUUGGAUGGCAGAAAUUCACAGACUGAAAGUCAGAGGAUGGAAAAU